UACAGAGGGUGCAAGCGUUAAUCGGAUUUACUGGGCGUAAAGCGUGCGUAGGCGGUUCGCUAAGUCGGUUGUGAAAUCCCUGGGCUUAACCUGGGAACUGCAGUCGAUACUGGCGGACUAGAGUACGGUAGAGGGUGGCGGAACUCCGGGUGUAGCGGUGAAAUGCGUAGAUAUCCGGAAGAACACCGAUGGCGAAGGCAACCACCUGGGCCUGUACUGACGCUGAGGUACGAAAGCGUGGGGAGCAACAGGG
rnacentral:rRNA from 1 species